rnacentral:rRNA from 1 species
GAUUAAGCCAUGCAUGUCUAAGUAUAAGCAAUCUAUACGGUGAAACUGCGAAUGGCUCAUUAAAUCAGUUAUCGUUUAUUUGAUAGUACCUUACUACAUGGAUAACCGUGGUAAUUCUAGAGCUAAUACAUGCUAAAAACCCCGACUUCGGGAGGGGUGUAUUUAUUAGAUAAAAAACCAAUGCCCUUCGGGGCUCCUUGGUGAUUCAUAAUAACUCAACGAAUCGCAUGGCCUUGCGCCGGCGAUGGUUCAUUCAAAUUUCUGCCCUAUCAACUUUCGAUGGUAGGAUAGUGGCCUACCAUGGUAUCAACGGGUAACGGGGAAUUAGGGUUCGAUUCCGGAGAGGGAGCCUGAGAAACGGCUACCACAUCCAAGGAAGGCAGCAGGCGCGCAAAUUACCCAAUCCCGACACGGGGAGGUAGUGACAAUAAAUACUGAUACAGGGCUCUUUUGGGUCUUGUAAUUGGAAUGAGUACAAUUUAAAUCCCUUAACGAGGAACAAUUGGAGGGCAAGUCUGGUGCCAGCAGCCGCGGUAAUUCCAGCUCCAAUAGCGUAUAUUAAAGUUGUUGCAGUUAAAAAGCUCGUAGUUGAACCUUGGGCCUGGCUGGCCGGUCCGCCUCACCGCGUGUACUGGUCCGGCCGGGCCUUUCCUUCUGGGGAUCCGCAUGCCCUUCACUGGGUGUGCCGGGGAUCCAGGACUUUUACUUUGAAAAAAUUAGAGUGUUCAAAGCAGGCCUUUGCUCGAAUACAUUAGCA